rnacentral:rRNA from 1 species
UACGGGGGGGAGCAAGCGUUGUUCGGAUUUACUGGGCGUAAAGGGCGCGUAGGCGGCCACCGCAAGUCGACUGUGAAAUCUCCGGGCUUAACCCGGAAAGGUCAGCCGAUACUGCGGGGCUAGAGUGCAGAAGGGGCAACUGGAAUUCUCGGUGUAGCGGUGAAAUGCGUAGAUAUCGAGAGGAACACCUGCGGCGAAGGCGGGUUGCUGGGCUGACACUGACGCUGAUGCGCGAAAGCCAGGGGAGCGAACGGG